AUUGAACGCUGGCGGCAGGCCUAACACAUGCAAGUCGAGCGAGCGGCGGACGGGUGAGUAAUGUAUGGGAAACUGCCCGAUGGAGGGGGAUAACUACUGGAAACGGUAGCUAAUACCGCAUACUAUCAGAUGUGCCCAGAUGGGAUUAGCUAGUAGGUGGGGUAAUGGCUUACCUAGGCGACGAUCCCUAGCUGGUCUGAGAGGAUGAUCAGCCACACUGGAAAUGAGCCACGGGCCAGACUCCUACGUGAGGCAGCAGUGGGGAAUAUUGCACAAUGGGCGCAAGCCUGAUGCAGCCAUGCCGCGUGUAUGAAGAAGGCCCUCGGGUUGUAAAGCACUUUCAGCUGGGAGGCGUUACCCGCAGAAGAAGCACCGGCUAACUCCGUGCCAGCAGCCGCGGUAAUAC
rnacentral:rRNA from 1 species